rnacentral:rRNA from 1 species
AUUGAACGCUGGCGGCAGGCCUAACACAUGCAAGUCGAACGAGUGGCGGACGGGUGAGUAAUGUCUGGGAAACUGCCCGAUGGAGGGGGAUAACUACUGGAAACGGUAGCUAAUACCGCAUACCAUCGGAUGUGCCCAGAUGGGAUUAGCUUGUAGGUGAGGUAACGGCUCACCUAGGCGACGAUCCCUAGCUGGUCUGAGAGGAUGACCAGCCACACUGGAACUGAGACACGGUCCAGACUCCUACGGGAGGCAGCAGUGGGGAAUAUUGCACAAUGGGCGCAAGCCUGAUGCAGCCAUGCCGCGUGUAUGAAGAAGGCCUUCGGGUUGUAAAGCACUUUAAGUUGGGAGGCGUUACCAACAGAAUAAGCACCGGCUAACUUCGUGCCAGCAGCCGCGGUAAUUC